AAUGAACGCUAGCGGAAGGCAUAAUACAUGCAAGUCGAACGGAUGUAGCAAUACAUUAGUGGCGCACGGGUGCGUGACGCGUAUGCAACCUACCUUCAUCAGGGGGAUAACUACCCGAAAGGGUGGCUAACACCGCAUAAUACUAUUGAGUGGCAUCACUUGGUAUUUAAAUCUGAGGAGGAUGAAGAUGGGCAUGCGUCUGAUUAGCUAGUUGGUGUGGUAACGGCGCACCAAGGCGACGAUCAGUAGGGGAACUGAGAGGUUGGUCCCCCACACUGGCACUGAGAUACGGGCCAGACUCCUACGGGAGGCAGCAGUAGGGAAUAUUGGUCAAUGGUGGGAACACUGAACCAGCCAUUCCGCGUGCAGGAAGAAGGGUCUCUGACUUGUAAACUGCUUUAGCAAGGGAAGAAAAAGCUCAUGCGUGAGAAAUUGACGGUACCUUGAGAAUAAGCACCGGCUAACUACGUGCCAGCAGCCGCCGUAA
rnacentral:rRNA from 1 species